AGCGAACGCUGGCGGCAGGCUUAACACAUGCAAGUCGAGCGGGCCCUUCGGGGUCAGCGGCGGACGGGUGAGUAACGCGUGGGAACGUGCCUUCUGGUUCGGAAUAACUCAGGGAAACUUGAGCUAAUACCGGAUACGCCCUUUUGGGGAAAGGUUUACUGCCGGAAGAUCGGCCCGCGUCUGAUUAGCUAGUUGGUGGGGUAACGGCCUACCAAGGCGACGAUCAGUAGCUGGUCUGAGAGGAUGAUCAGCCACACUGGGACUGAGACACGGCCCAGACUCCUACGGGAGGCAGCAGUGGGGAAUAUUGGACAAUGGGCGCAAGCCUGAUCCAGCCAUGCCGCGUGAGUGAUGAAGGCCUUAGGGUUGUAAAGCUCCUUUAUCCGGGACGAUAAUGACGGUACCGGAGGAAUAAGCCCCGGCUAACUUCGUGCCAGCCGCCGCAGUAA
rnacentral:rRNA from 1 species